rnacentral:lncRNA from 1 species
UUGUUUGUGUGUGCUUUGGAGCGUGUUGAUACUCUGUUAAGACAGCUUAAUCUUUAAAAGUGUCAUGUGGUCACAUAACUCGUUGGCAAAGUAGUGUCUUCUACUCGGCUCCCAGUGUCUGCUCUAUCUAACUUAAUUUGUCUGUUUUUUAAUUUAUAGAUAGUUGGUUGCCACUUUAAGUCUAUUCCAGUGAAUGAAAAAGACACCUUAACAUGUUUCAUCUACUCAGUGAGGAACGACAAGAACAAAUCAGAUCUCAAGGCGGACAGUGGUGUCCACUAGGAGAGAUGCCCGCACGUAGACGUCUGCUGUCAAGAGUGUUUACUGUUCUUCCGAUGUAGAAACGUUCUUGUGUAUUUUUUCUACAGAGGAUUUUCUUUGGCUUUUUGUUUUUGUUGCUGUCGUUUUUGAUCCUGAUAAUUAGUUGGAAACUCAUAUAAACUGAGCUUCCUAGAUUAAACAUAUUUUAAAUAAAGGUUAUUACUAUUACAGCUA